UGAAGAUGGAAACUGAACCAAUGACCUUUUAGGUUUGCCGGUUUCUGGGAAAUGAACAUCACAGAAAACAUAAAACUAAUGCAUACGUAACAGAUCUGGCGUCUCAGCUGUGGAGAGAAAAAUUGCAGGAAAAAACUGAAACUCACCUUUUUCUUCAGAGUGGAGAAAACAAACCUCGAUCACCCGGCCGCUUCAGCGUCCUUCUUCAUCUAGAAUGAGCUGAUUCUGCAUCUCAAGCCUCUUUUUUUACUCCACUCACUUUCUGAGAGCACAAAGAGUUCAUAAAAUAGAUACAUAGUACUUAAUAAUGUGCCAGAUCCUGUUUAGAUCCUCGUUUGGCUUGAUAAACUACGCCAGUCAGAGCUGGUGUCUAGCCAGCAGAAAGCUGUCAGUAUAGACAAGGCCAAGGACUGCUGGCAAACAGCGGCUGCAUUUUAGCCAAAAGCUCCUUGUUUACUUCGAGAAGGAGAGCAUCCGAGAAACAGCCUGAUUUUGUGCUCCACGUCUCAUGUAUCGAAACAUCACCUCUUUGUUUUAGGAAUAUUUAAGGCACCUGCGAUCGGAGGCAUUGCAGUUCCACAGCUUUCUGAAAGGAGUCGCUGCUGAGCAUAAACAAUCACACGUCGUACCCAAGAAUAAUCAGCUUCAGAGACGCCAACGAAAGCUCCGUUAUCAGGCCUCAAUUUAAUUGUGAAGUCUGGGUAGUCUGCUAACGCUGGGCUGAUGUGAAGAACCGAUCCGCGCUGUUAUUCUCUCAUGUGGGCGCUGAACACCACUUCAAGCUAAAAUGAGACGGUCCAGUGUGAUUUAUUAUAAAACUCGGCUCAGCAGGACAAAAAAGGGACAGAAAUCACCCAGCCUUCAAGCUUUUGUUGUCACAUCAACCAUGAUGCACGCAUUCCAAUGAAGAAGGAUGAAAGAGAAAAUCACACGUCAGUCAGGUGACAAGAACACUCACAGCGGCAGUGCUUUACACUUUUUAA